rnacentral:misc_RNA from 1 species
AACUGAUACUACCUGCGGGAACCUGCGGAGGGAUCAUUAAAGAGUUGCAAGACUCCCAAACCAUUGUGAACGUUACCCACACCGUUGCUUCGGCGGGCGGCCCGGGCCCUGCCCGGCGCCCCCCGGCCCCUCGCGGGCGCCCGCCGGAGGUAAACCAAACUCUUGAAUUGUAUGGCCUCUCUGAGUCUUCUGUACUGAAUAAGUCAAAACUUUCAACAAUGGAUCUCUAGAUCGGAAGAG